rnacentral:rRNA from 1 species
UACGUAGGGUGCAAGCGUUAAUCGGAAUUACUGGGCGUAAAGCGUGCGCAGGCGGUGAUGUAAGACAGGUGUGAAAUCCCCGGGCUUAACCUGGAAACUGCAUUUGUGACUGCAUCGCUGGAGUGCGGCAGAGGGGGAUGGAAUUCCGCGUGUAGCAGUGAAAUGCGUAGAUAUGCGGAGGAACACCGAUGGCGAAGGCAAUCCCCUGGGCCUGCACUGACGCUCAUGCACGAAAGCGUGGGGAGCAAACAGG